rnacentral:rRNA from 1 species
UACGUAGGCAGCGAGCGUUGUUCGGAGUUACUGGGCGUAAAGAGUGCGUAGGCGGUUUUCUAAGUUUGGUGUGAAAUCUCCCGGCUUAACUGGGAGGGUGCGCCGAAGACUGGAAGGCUUGAGUAUGGGAGAGGUAAGCGGAAUUCCUGGUGUAGCGGUGGAAUGCGCAGAUAUCAGGAGGAACACCAAUAGCGAAGGCAGCUCGCUGGGACGUUACUGACGCUGAGGCGCGAAAGCGUGGGGAGCAAACAGG